rnacentral:lncRNA from 1 species
UAGUAGAAAUGUGAUUACUGAUCAAAGUCAAUACAACACUCUGGGGCACAUAAACCACAUCUGAGAAAAUACCCAGCUUUACUGUUUUCCAGUCUACCCAACUGCAAGUGUCCUCAAAAUGUCAUCAACAAUAAACUGCAAAAGGCUUCACAUCUCCUCAUUAAACAGUCUCCCUCAGGCACUGGGCUGAGGGAGAAAUUGCCUGCUUCCUAAGAUGGCAUUUAUGAAUUCAGACACGGAUACCAGCACUUCCACUAAAUGCAAAAGUUUAUAUAUUGAAGCCUGUUUAUGGAGCAAUCAGUGCAGGGUACAUAGAAGCAAAGAGCCAUUCCAGAUAAUUACCAUAUGAAUGGGCUUAAUAUUUCUCUGACAUACCCCAAACAUCUACUGCACAAUUUGAAAUCUAGAUUGGAAAAUAUGUCUUCCUGGUGCCCUGGGGGUUUUGUUCUUGUCAGAUUCCACAGCACACCCUCAAGUGACAGAAGACACAGCUACCUUUUUCACACUGAAUGACAAAGUUUAUUUCAUAUAGAAUACUAUAUGAUUUACCUUUGCUUCAAAGAAAUGGAUGAAGCAAGUCAACUGAAUAU